rnacentral:tRNA from 1 species
AGGAUUAUAGUUUAAUACUAAAAACAUUUGAUUUGCAAUCAAAAAAUAUUUUAUAAAUUUAUCUUA